rnacentral:misc_RNA from 1 species
GCAAACUUGGUCAUUUAGAGGAAGUAAAAGUCGUAACAAGGUUUCCGUAGGUGAACCUGCGGAAGGAUCAUUAACGUAUCUCUGGCGGGAUGCGGUGCGCCCUGCUCCGGUCCAAACGGACCGUGCAGCGGGUUCCCGCCCUGUCCAAACCUCACAAACCCACCGUGAACCUUUACGGCUGAGGGCCGCUUGCCCGACGCCGCAUACCAAACUCCAGUUUGCAAAGAAUGUUGUGCGGGCUCUUGUACCGCCUAAACACAAAACAACUUUCAACAACGGAUCUCUUGGCUCUCGCAUCGAUGAAGAACGCAGC